GACGAACGCUGGCGGCGUGCUUAACACAUGCAAGUCGAACGGAAAGGCCCCUUUGGGGGUACUCGAGUGGCGAACGGGUGAGUAACACGUGAGUAACCUGCCCUUGACUUCGGGAUAACUUCAGGAAACUGGGGCUAAUACCGGAUAGGAAUCCUUGCUGCAUGGUGGGGGUUGGAAAGCUUCGGCGGUUUUGGAUGGACUCGCGGCUUAUCAGCUUGUUGGUGGGGUAGCGGCUUACCAAGGCUUUGACGGGUAGCCGGCCUGAGAGGGCGACCGGCCACAUUGGGACUGAGAUACGGCCCAGACUCCUACGGGAGGCAGCAGUGGGGAAUAUUGCACAAUGGGCGGAAGCCUGAUGCAGCAACGCCGCGUGCGGGAUGACGGCCUUCGGGUUGUAAACCGCUUUCAGCAGGGGCGAAGCUUGUGGUGACGGUACCUGCAGAAGAAGCACCGGCUAACUACGUG
rnacentral:rRNA from 1 species